rnacentral:rRNA from 1 species
CAGUCGCCGCGGUAAUACGUAGGGUGCGAGCGUUAAUCGGAAUUACUGGGCGUAAAGCGUGCGCAGGCGGUUUUGUAAGACAGAGGUGAAAUCCCCGGGCUCAACCUGGGAACUGCCUUUGUGACUGCAAGGCUAGAGUACGGCAGAGGGGGAUGGAAUUCCGCGUGUAGCAGUGAAAUGCGUAGAUAUGCGGAGGAACACCGAUGGCGAAGGCAAUCCCCUGGGCCUGUACUGACGCUCAUGCACGAAAGCGUGGGGAGCAAACAGGAUUAGAUACCCCCGUAGUCCCUGUCUCUUAUAA